GGUUGAUCAACUCAACUGUGAGUGAAAGAAAGAAAGAAAGAAAAGACUUGUAUUUCAACGUUCUCUCUCUUUCGAUUGAACUCAACUGAAGUUUCCCGGUGGCGCUACCACAACCUACCCCGAUUGGAGUUGGACUCAGUACAGACAUGGAACGCAUCAUCGGCACCAAGUACAAGAUGGGUCGCAAGAUUGGAAGUGGAUCCUUCGGUCAAAUCUACCUCGCUACUCAUAUUGAUACCUUCGAGAGCGUAGCUAUCAAGAUCGAGAAGAAAGACACAAAACAUGCACAGUUGCUUUAUGAGGCCAAGCUAUACAAUAUUCUCCAAGGAGGAAGUGGCAUCCCAAGUAUAAAGUGGUGUGGUGUAGAGGGAGAGGACAACGUGCUUGUUAUGGAUUUGCUGGGGCCUAGUCUUGAGGAUCUUUUUGUGUACUGUGGAAGAAAGUUUUCUCUCAAAACUGUAUUGAUGUUGGCUGAUCAAAUGAUAACCAGAAUAGAAUAUGUGCAUUCUAAAGGAUUCCUACAUAGGGACAUAAAACCUGAUAACUUCCUCAUGGGACUUGGUCGGAAGGCAAACCAGGUUUAUGUAAUUGAUUUUGGGCUUGCAAAACGAUAUCGGGACUCCAGAACCAAUUGCCACAUCCCUUACAGGGAGAACAAAAGCUUAACAGGGACUGCACGUUAUGCAAGUUGCAAUACUCAUCUUGGAAUUGAGCAAAGCCGACGGGAUGAUUUGGUAUCACUAGGAUAUGUGCUUCUGUAUUUCCUCAGAGGAAGCCUUCCUUGGCAAAACCUAAAGGCCGCAACAAAGAAGCAAAAGUAUGAUCAAAUAUGUCAGAAGAAACUAGCAACUCCUAUUGAGGUAUUGUGCAAAUCUUAUCCUGUAGAGUUUGCUUCAUACUUCCACUACUGUCACUCUCUGACCUUUGAUCAGCGACCUGAUUAUGCAUUCUUAAAUCGCUUAUUUCGGGAGUUAUUUUCUCGGGAAGGUUAUGAAUUUGAUUAUGCAUUUGAUUGGUCUAUUUUAAAGUAUCAGCAGGCACAACAGAAUAGAGUCCAGCCUCGUGUAACUCCGGUUCCUAGAGCAAGCAACAAUCGUGCAGUGCCCAUGAAUGUUGGCAACUAUCAAGGGGAUGUCUCAGCAGAGCGCAUUGAAUCAGGCAAUGCUACUGGGUCUGGUGUUAAAACUCAAUUUAAAUCACAAGUCGGUAAAACUUUGGGUUCUGAAAAUCAUCUUGACAAGAAUAUUUUCAGUGGAGCAAAUAUCCCCUCUACCUCGUACUCUCUUGCUGGUACCUCAAAAAGGAACUCCUUGAAGCCUGCCCUGUCGUCUGAAGCUGUGAACCCUGGACCUGGGCAAGGCAGUAGUAAAAUGGGCCCUUCAAGUAGCUGGAUUUCAUCUCUGCAUCGCAGAUCUUCUGCCAAAUGAAUGCCCGCUGUGGUCUGAUCAAGAAGAUACUCUGUACACAUACGUGAAGCUGCAAAUUCGUGGCGUAUUGCUUGCAUCUCUUUCCUAUGUAGAUGGUGAAGAAUGUUUGAGUGGUCUAUCCACGGAGACUGCAAAUGAGCUGCAAGGUGUAUUUUCAAUUGCCUCUGUUAAGGUAGCUCGAAUUUGAUGGUCAGCUUGAUUAAUUUGCUUUGUCUGUCAUUCUUGGGAUGAAUGAGUUCAAUCUGAUUGUAUUGCAAUGUAGUUGAAGGGUUUCCCUUUUCAACUCUAAAGGAUUCAUAUGACAGAAAAUUGGCAUUUAUAUGGAUGUCAUUAUCAACUGAAACAUACCUCUCCAUACAGAUUGGAUCCUCAUAUAGCACAUUGCUGGAAAUGUGAAUUGUUUGCCAGAACAGCAAACUUCAAAGACUUCUAUGCGAUAUGUGGGCAUAAUUGGUUUAUAAAAACUUUAUGGGCCCUUGAGAGUUAGUGCCUUUUUGUUUCUGCGUCGGCAAGGCGUUGGAUGUGAGUAUGGGGAGAAUCUUCAAUGUGGAGCGAUGGAAAGAACAUGCUAUGGACUCCUGCAACACGUACGCAAACAGACCCUAUGCUAUGGACUCCUGCAACGCGUAUGCAAACGGACCCUUAUUGUUCGCUUGUGUGAGCAUCUUGAGCAGCAGACACACGUAAACCUAGAAUCAACUAUAGAGGGGACGUGAACUCAAACACUCCCUUAAUAUACAUAUAAAGGGAGAUAUAAAUUUUACAUCACAAGGUUUAAAGUUUAAUCUAUAAGUACCCGAGACAAUCAUGGGCAAGUCGGGUAUAACCACUAUGGGUGGGAAAGCACUCCCUAUCAAGUAUUUAACCAAGUUCUAUUCAAAGCGACCUGAACUUAAGACAUAUUUAAAUUAGUGCAUGUUAGCUGAUCUCUGUUUGGUGGUCAUUACGUGACUUAAGAGAAUUCAUUCCCUUAUUAAUAACACAACGACAUUAAAAAUGUACUCCCUCCGUUCUAAAAUGUAAGUUGUUUUAGAAUUUAUAUCAUAUUUCAAAAUAUAAGUUGUUUUGCAAAA